rnacentral:rRNA from 1 species
AAAUUGAAGAGUUUGAUCAUGGCUCAGAUUGAACGCUGGCGGCAGGCCUAACACAUGCAAGUCGAGCGGAAACGAGUUAUCUGAACCUUCGGGGGACGAUAACGGCGUCGAGCGGCGGACGGGUGAGUAAUGCCUAGGAAAUUGCCCUGAUGUGGGGGAUAACCAUUGGAAACGAUGGCUAAUACCGCAUGAUGCCUACGGGCCAAAGAGGGGGACCUUCGGGCCUCUCGCGUCAGGAUAUGCCUAGGUGGGAUUAGCUAGUUGGUGAGGUAAGGGCUCACCAAGGCGACGAUCCCUAGCUGGUCUGAGAGGAUGAUCAGCCACACUGGAACUGAGACACGGUCCAGACUCCUACGGGAGGCAGCAGUGGGGAAUAUUGCACAAUGGGCGCAAGCCUGAUGCAGCCA